GGGGAAAUGUCACUACUCUUUGUUGAACACCCACUAUGUGCCUACCGCUCCUCCCCUAAAGUGGCUCAGCUGUCAGGUCUGAGCUCCACAUUGCCUGGGAUUGAGGCACAGACAGAUCUGAUUCCCGCUGCUAUAUCCUUCCCCUGAGCCCAGGCUGUGGGUUCUGCUCAUAGAGAAUGCCGAGCUGUACCCUAAGAGCCAGCAAGACCAAGGGUCUUUGGCACCACAAGCAGCCAGCAGCUGGGGAUAGUAACGCAGAACACAGUGAGCAGCAAGGAUGGCAGAGAACAACGGAGAAUCGCCGGAAGCCACCAUCUGGGGGAAGGAUGAUUGAGACCAGAGACAAGAACAGAAGAAAGUCCGUGUGGCACAGCCUGGACCAGGACCCAGACUUCAGGAUCCCAUCUGUACCUCCUGCCAGCCUAUGACAGCGUCGGAAAUGGACUUGAUUCCCACCAGCCAGGAGUGGCGCCAGACUCUGCUGAGGUCUACAAGCAACAGGUCCCAGAGCCCUCUGUCCACCCCAGAGGCCAUUUCACGGAAUAGGCGGGGGAGAGGGACAGG